GGCUAGGUAGCUCAGCUGGUUAGAGCGCGCGACUCAUAAUCGCGAGGUCGAGGGUUCGAGUCCCUCCCUCGCCACCA
rnacentral:tRNA from 7 species